UUCUGGGAGGAUUGACAGAUUGAGAGCUCUUGCUUGAUUCGGUGAAUGGUGGUGCAUGUCCGUUCUUAGUUGGUGGAUCGAUUUUUCUGGUUAAUUCCGAUGACGAACAAGACUACUCUAGUCUAUUAAAUAGGUGCGCGGUUCUCUGCACCUUGCACCCUUCUUAGAGGAACAAGCGGCUCCUAGCCGCACGAAACAAAGCAAUAACAGGCCUGUGAUGCCCUUAGAU
rnacentral:rRNA from 1 species